rnacentral:rRNA from 1 species
UACGAAGGGGGCUAGCGUUGUCCGGAAUUAUUGGGCGUAAAGGGCUCGUAGGCGGUUUGUCGCGUCGGGAGUGAAAACCAUGGGCUUAACUCAUGGCUUGCUUUCGAUACGGGCAGACUAGAGGUAUGCAGGGGAGAACGGAAUUCCUGGUGUAGCGGUGAAAUGCGCAGAUAUCAGGAGGAACACCGGUGGCGAAGGCGGUUCUCUGGGCAUUACCUGACGCUGAGGAGCGAAAGUGUGGGGAGCGAACAGG